rnacentral:snRNA from 1 species
AAAUGUGAGGGUGAUCUGGCUGUGACAUCUGUCACCCCAUUGAUCACCAGGGUUGAUUUGGCUGAUCUGGCUGGCUAGGUGGGUGUCCCUUCCUCCCCCUCUGCUCCAUGUUUGUCCCUCCCAAUGUGACCAUCCUCGAUAGAGGAUGACCAGUCUUCUGUCAAGGGCAUAUGAGUAGCUGUUAUCCCCUUGCUAGAACUUCCAAACAAGCUCUCAAGGUCAUGAGAGAACAGGGCAGAUCUUGUCCAGUAUAGUUGCAGAAAGCUGACAAAUAUGGUGGUAGCACUGUAAAUUAAGAG